UGAAGCCGGAGUUGCUAGUAAUGGCAGGUCAGCAUACUGCCGUGAAUACGUUCCCGGGCCUUGUACACACCGCCCGUCACACCAUGAGAGUUGGGGAUACCCGAAGCCUGUGAGCUAACUUUAUAAGGAGCAGCAGUCGAAGGUAGAAUCAAUGAUUGGGGUGAAGUCGUAACAAGGUAUC
rnacentral:rRNA from 1 species